CCUACGGGUGGCAGCAGUGAGGAAUAUUGGUCAAUGGCCGCAAGGCUGAACCAGCCAAGUAGCGUGAGGGAUGACUGCCCUAUGGGUUGUAAACCGCUUUUAUGCGGGGAUAAAGUGGGUCACGUGUGGAUUUUUGCAGGUACCGCAUGAAUAAGGACCGGCUAAUUCCGUGCCAGCAGCCGCGGUAAUACGGAAGGUCCGGGCGUGAUCCGGAUUUAUUGGGUUUAAAGGGAGCGUAGGCCGCCCUUUAAGCGUGUCGUGAAAUGCUGUGGCUCAACCGUGGCAGUGCGGCGCGAACUGGGGACCUUGAGUGCGCGGAAGGUAGGCGGAAUUCGUGGUGUAGCGGUGAAAUGCUUAGAUAUCACGAAGAACCCCGAUUGCGAAGGCAGCCUACCGCAGCGUUACUGACGCUGAAGCUCGAAGGCGCGGGUAUCGAACAGGAUUAGAUACCCGAGUAGUC
rnacentral:rRNA from 1 species